rnacentral:rRNA from 1 species
ACGAACGCUGGCGGCAUGCCUAACCCCUGCCAGUCGAACGAGACCUUCGGGUCUAGUGGCGCACGGGUGCGUAACGCGUGGGAACCUGCCCUUAGGGUCGGAAUAACUCCCCGAAAGGGGUGCUAAUACCGGAUAAUGUCUUCGGACCAAAGAUUUAUCGCCUUUGGAUGGGCCCGCGUUGGAUUAGCUAGUUGGUAGGGUAAAAGCCUACCAAGGCGACGAUCCAUAGCUGGGCUGAGAGGAUGAUCAGCCACACUGGGACUGAGACACGGCCCAGACUCCUACGGGAGGCAGCAGUGGGGAAUAUUGGACAAUGGGCGAAAGCCUGAUCCAGCAAUGCCGCGUGAGUGAUGAAGGCCUUAGGGUUGUAAAGCUCUUUUACCCGGGAUGAUAAUGACAGUACCGGGAGAAUAAGCUCCGGCUAACUCCGUG